rnacentral:rRNA from 1 species
GCGAGUGAAGCGGGAACAGCCCAAAUUUUAAAUCGAUCAAAAGGUCGAGUUGUAAUUUGAAGAAUUGCUUUCCACGUUCUUAUCCGAUGAAAAGUCCCUUGGAAUAGGGCAUCACAGAGGGUGAUAAUCCCGUAUUUUAUCGUGAUUUGGACGUCGUGUGUAGUAAUUUCAAAGAGUCGAGUUGUUUGGGAUUGCAGCUCAAAACGGGUGGUAAAUUCCAUCUAAGGCUAAAUAACGGCAAGAGACCGAUAGCGAACAAGUACCGUGAGGGAAAGAUGAAAAGAACUUUGAAAAGAGAGUUAAACAGUACGUGAAAUUGUUGAAAGGGAAACGAUUGAGGCCAGUCAUGCCUGCGAGAAAUCAAUCAGUUGGUCGAAUUUUCGAAUUUGAUUUGUUGGUGCACUUUUUCGCGUGGCAGGUUAGCAUCAACUUUGAUGGUCGUAAAAUGGUGGUCGGAAGGUAGCUCUUUUUGGAGUGUUAUAGCCGGCUGCAGAUGCAACGAUCGAGGUUGAGGUUUGCGGCAAAUGCCUUUGGCUACUUACCUUCCUUCUGAUCUGUUCACUUUGAAAUGACAGCUUGCUGACAUUUUAGGGGGCGUUCAAUCAAUAGGGUAGAGUAAGAUAAAUUUGCCAAGGAUGC